UGUUUGAUCUCACGAAAUAACCGUUUUUACAAUAGCAGUUAAAAACAUACACUUUUAACGUUGUCAGUUCAUUUUAAAUCCACAGAAAAAUAAAAUGGAAAAACGGUGUCCUGCAAUUUUUGGAAUAAUUACAUUAGUUUUAUUGUGUGCUGGAGCCUUCUCUCCCGGGUGGUUUGCCAUUGACACUGCAAAAUUAAGUGGAGAUGAGGGCAGUUAUACUUCAGACGGUAUUGAAAUACAUAUGGGAUUAUUUUAUUUUGUUGCUGUAGGGAAAGAUUUUAGAAAAGUUUCGGGAUAUGGAGAUUUUAGUGGAUCCAGCAUGUUAAAAAUUGGUUUUCUUGAAUACCAGUUAGAAGUUAUCCUGGGAAUAGUCUUAUGUUUUAUAUCAGUCAUACUGACUUUCAAAUACAAGAAAGAAGGAACGAAUGGAGUUUUGGUUGCUAUUAUAAUAAUGUACAUUAUAGCAGGAAUAUCUACAUUUAUAGCAGUCGGACGUUGGCUUAACGGCGUGAUAUUUAUUUCACCUUACUCAGACAUACCAAUGAUCGUCCCCUACUCUUUAAUUUUGAGUGGUCUUGGAGCCAUCUUUUGUGGGAUCAUAAUGAUAUGUGUAAGUUGCAUGUACUGCCCGCACAACGCUGAUAGACCAGCCCACGGGGGUCAGGUGUAUUCUGGUGUUGCAAUGACCGAUUAUACACAAACACAGCCGUAUACGCAAGGGCCGCCGCUAUAUGGACAAUCACAGGAUAAAAAAAGCUACGUAUAGACUUAUGGUAAUGGCGGUGGCAUACUUCAUAAAGCGUAAUAAUAAAAAUGAUUUGUGCGUCAACCAAUCAUUGAAAUUUGUAUAUUGAAAUGUAAAAUGAUGAUAGAUAACUUUACAAUUAUCGCAAAAACUGUAUUAUAUGCAUCAUAUUGUAAACUUUAAAAGAAUAAAAUUGACAAAAGUCUCUGGUAUAA